rnacentral:misc_RNA from 1 species
GAAAUGCGAUACGUAGUGUGAAUUGCAGAAUUCCGUGAAUCAUCGAAUCUUUGAACACAAAUUGUACUUUCCAGUAUUCUGGGAAGUAUGCUUGGUUGAGGGUCAUUAAAAUAACAUUCGUGAAUUUUUUUGCGGAUUUGAGUUUUCCAGUGUUUAUAAAAAUGUUGGUAACUUUAAAAUUAUUUAUUACUUGGUAAGUUGAAAACGUUCUAUAUGUGUGGUUCGCUGACAACUUGUCCAUCUCAUAUAUUAUGCGCGCACUUGGUUUUUUUACGCUUGUGUGAGCAUAUAUUUUUUUAUGACCUCAGCUCAAGUAAGAAUACCCGCUGAACUUAA